UGUCGGUACUAUGUAAUUCUAUUUUCUAACACAAGUUAAACAAAUGUGAUAUUUAUUUAUAGAUUUAACAGUCAUUUUAUUUAAGAAAUUAUCACGCUCAUUAGCAGGUUUGAAAGCUAAAAUCAAUUUCCUAUCCAACUGGCAUGCUGAAAAUAGGGAUUGGACACAAGAUCAAAAGUAAAUUUGAAAACAAGAAAAUCGCAAUAUUAAGGCCAUCCUUUAAAAAUGAAAUAAUAACUGCCCUUUUACAGGCACAAUUUAUAUAGGUUGGUCUAGUGUUAAUGAAUAAAUAACCACAUGAAAUAACAUGUAAUAAUAUUGCUACGAUAAUACUGUUUCUUUAUAUUUUAACACACUUAGGAGGAUUGUUCGGAAAUUAUUGAGACAACACGAAUUAAAUUUCCCUUUCUAAGUAAUGAAUUAGGAUGAAAACUAGCAUAAA